rnacentral:tRNA from 1 species
UGGGGUGUAGCCAAGCGGCAAGGCACGGGACUUUGGAUCCCGCAUCGUAGGUUCGAAUCCUACCGCCCCAGCCA